AUGUUUCCGUUCAGUUUCAAGAGGAAACAAUUUCCAAUCAAACUCAGUUUUGCUAUGACAAUUAACAAAUCACAAGGCCAGACAAUACCGAAUGUCGGCAUCUACAGGCCUUAACCCGUUUUCUCACAUGGUCAACUAUAUGUCGCACUAUCUAGAGCAACCGCGACAUCAAAUAUAAAGGUAUUAACAGGUACACAUGAUGAGAGCAAGCAGAAGAAGAAAAAGAACAACAUAAACGACACAUACACAAAGGGAGAGAAGAAAAAGGAAAAGGAAAGGACCAGCACAAGCGGGACAUAUGCGAAAAAUAUUGUCUACAAGGAAGUCCUAACCAAAUAG
rnacentral:rRNA from 1 species